UACGAAGGGGGCGAGCGUUGUUCGGAUUUACUGGGCGUAAAGGGCGCGUAGGCGGCCCUCCUUGUCGCGUGUGAAAGCCCCGGGCUCAACCUGGGAACGGCGCGCGAGACGGGGGGGCUGGAGUUCGGGAGAGGAGCGUGGAAUUCCCAGUGUAGAGGUGAAAUUCGUAGAUAUUGGGAAGAACACCGGUGGCGAAGGCGGCGCUCUGGACCGAGACUGACGCUGAGGCGCGAAAGCCAGGGGAGCAAACGGG
rnacentral:rRNA from 1 species